AGUCGAACGGAUCCUUUAAGGAUUAGUGGCAGACGGGUGAGUAACGCGUGGGAAGCUACCUUGUGGUAGGGGACAACAGUUGGAAACGACUGCUAAUACCCUAUGAGCCCUAUGGGGGAAAGAUUUAUCGCCAUGAGAUGUGCCCGCGUUAGAUUAGCUAGUUGGUAAGGUAAUGGCUUACCAAGGCGACGAUCUAUAGCUGGUCUGAGAGGAUGAUCAGCCACACUGGGACUGAGACACGGCCCAGACUCCUACGGGAGGCAGCAGUGGGGAAUAUUGGACAAUGGGGGCAACCCUGAUCCAGCCAUGCCGCGUGUGUGAUGACGGCCUUAGGGUUGUAAAGCACUUUCAGCAGUGAAGAUAAUGACAUUAACUGCAGAAGAAGCCCCGGCUAACUUCGUGCCAGCAGCCGCGGUAAUACGAAGGGGGCUAGCGUUGUUCGGAAUCACUGGGCGUAAAGAGUACGUAGGCGGACUGAUAAGUUAGGGGUGAAAUCCCAAGGCUCAACCUUGGAACUGCCUUUGAUACUGUCAGUCUUGAGAUCGAGAGAGGUGAGUGGAACUCCGAGUGUAGAGGUGAAAUUCGUAGAUAUUCGGAAGAACACCAGUGGCGAAGGCGGCUCACUGGCUCGAUACUGACGCUGAGGUACGAAA
rnacentral:rRNA from 1 species